GAUGAACGCUCGCGGCGUGCUUAACACAUGCAAGUCGAACGAUGAAGCCCAGCUUGCUGGGUGGAUUAGUGGCGAACGGGUGAGUAACACGUGAGCAACCUGCCCCUGACUCUGGGAUAAGCGCUGGAAACGGCGUCUAAUACUGGAUAUGUCCCGUCACCGCAUGGUGUGCGGGUGGAAAGAUUUUUCGGUUGGGGAUGGGCUCGCGGCCUAUCAGCUUGUUGGUGAGGUAAUGGCUCACCAAGGCGUCGACGGGUAGCCGGCCUGAGAGGGUGACCGGCCACACUGGGACUGAGACACGGCCCAGACUCCUACGGGAGGCAGCAGUGGGGAAUAUUGCACAAUGGGCGGAAGCCUGAUGCAGCAACGCCGCGUGAGGGAUGACGGCCUUCGGGUUGUAAACCUCUUUUAGCAGGGAAGAAGCGAAAGUGACGGUACCUGCAGAAAAAGCACCGGCUAACUACGUG
rnacentral:rRNA from 1 species